CUUGGAUACGGAGACAUGGUUCCAUCAACAAUAAUGGGUAAAAUAGUUGGAGGAGUAUGCUCACUGUCUGGAGUGUUGGUUAUUGCUCUUCCAGUUCCAGUUAUUGUCAGCAAU
rfam:Caenorhabditis elegans chromosome IV